AUUGAACGCUGGCGGCAGGCCUAACACAUGCAAGUCGAGCGGAUGAAGGGAGCUUGCUCCUGGAUUCAGCGGCGGACGGGUGAGUAAUGCCUAGGAAUCUGCCUGGUAGUGGGUGAUAACGUCCGGAAACGGGCGCUAAUACCGCAUACGUCCUGAGGUAGAAAGUGGGGGAUCUUCUGACCUCACGCUAUCAGAUGAGCCUAGGUCGGAUUAGCUAGUUGGUGGGGUAAAGGCCUACCAAGGCGACGAUCCGUAACUGGUCUGAGAGGAUGAUCAGUAAAACUGGAACUGAGACACGGUCCAGACUCCUACGGGAGGAAGCAGUGGGGAAUAUUGGACAAUGGGCGAAAGCCUGAUCCAGCCAUGCCGCGUGUGUGAAGAAGGUCUUCGGAUUGUAAAGCACUUUAAGUUGGGAGGAAGGGAAGUAAGUUAAUACCUUGCUGUUUUGACGUUACCAAAAGAAUAAGCACCGGCUAACUUCGUG
rnacentral:rRNA from 1 species